AGAGAGAGAGAGAGAGAGAGAGAGAGAGAGAGAGAGAGAGAGAGAGAGAGAGAGAGAGAGAGAGAGAGAGAGAGAUGAAUAUGAAUAACCUUGGUAUAUAUAUAAAUAGAAUCAAAAGUGGCGUGUGGUGUGAAUAUAAACAAGAACAGCAGGGAAAAGAUGACAUAUGGAAAGAGACUAGAGAGAGAUGGAAAAGAGGUCAAGGGAUGCUAAUAGGAAGGGGAAGGGUUGGUUAGUACACCUAUCACAAGGGUAUAAAUAGAAGCAUAUAUAGUGGGCGGUUUAAAUGUAGCAAUAGUAGAUGACUAGAGACAUGGAAUAGGUUUAGUGGCUAUGUAUAAGGAAGAUAGGG